rnacentral:rRNA from 1 species
AUACGUAUGGGGCAAGCGUUGUUCGGAUUCAUUGGGCGUAAAGGGCACGCAGGCGGACCACUAAGUUGGAUGUAUAAUCGUCAGGCUCAACCUGAUAUCUGCAUCCAAAACUGGCGGUCUAGAGUCUCGGAGAGGAAAGUGGAAUUCUCGGUGUAGCGGUGGAAUGCGUAGAUAUCGAGAGGAACACCAAUGGCGAAGGCAGCUUUCUGGCCAUAGACUGACGCUCAGGUGCGAAAGCGUGGGGAGCAAACAGGAUUAGAAACCCCAGUAGUCC